AACGAACGCUGGCGGCAGGCUUAACACAUGCAAGUCGAACGAAGGUCCUAGCUUGCUAGGGUACCUUAGUGGCGAACGGGUGAGUAACGCGUGGGAACCUACCCAGGAGUGGGGAAUAACUAUUGGAAACGAUGGCUAAUACCGCAUAUUUCCUGAGGGAGAAAGGCUUCGGCCGCUUUUGGAUGGUCCCGCGUCUGAUUAGCUUGUUGGUGAGGUAACGGCUCACCAAGGCGACGAUCAGUAGCUGGUCUGAGAGGAUGAUCAGCCACACUGGGACUGAGACACGGCCCAG
rnacentral:rRNA from 1 species